GUGGCGAGGGGAAGGCACUUGCUCGGCGCUGCCUCCGUGCAGAGCGGCCGGGAGGGCUUUGCAGCGGCCGCCGCCGCGGCGGGAGGAGGGGGCUGAGGCGGCUUCGGAGUUGGCCGGAGAAGGUGGGCAUUUCUCGCUUUUCCUCCCUUUCCUGCGCUCUCCCCCUCCCUCCUGCCCCGCACCCCACGUGAAGCGAAAUAUAAAGGGGGGUGUGAGGCUAGAAGGGAAAGUGAAUGGCGAAGGACUGAAGGGAUCCCCCCUUCGGGUCCCCGGCCGCCCUGUUCACCCUCGUUCAUCCUCCUUUCCGAAGCUCGCUCUCGAAGGCAGGAGCGACCGGCGCCUUCGGCUGAGGAGGAGGAGAAGGAGGAAUCGCGCCAGGCGGAGCGUCAGGUCCCGUUUUCCUCUCCGGCGUCUCGAAUACAAAGAUUACGGUGCAGAAGGAAAUUGCACUCGUCUCCUCCGCGUCCCCGGUACCCAACACAAUGCACCAGCCGCCUGAGUCCACGGCCGCGGCCGCCGCCGCUGCAGACAUUAGCGCUAGGAAGAUGGCGCACCCGGCAAUGUUCCCUCGAAGGGGCAGCGGUAGUGGCAGCGCCUCUGCUCUCAAUGCAGCAGGUACCGGCGUCGGUAGUAAUGCCACAUCUUCCGAGGAUUUUCCGCCUGCGUCGCUGCUUCAGCCGCCGCCCCCUGCAGCAGCAUCUACGUCGGGACCACAGCCUCCGCCUCCACAAAGCCUGAACCUCCUUUCGCAGGCUCAGCUGCAGGCACAGCCUCUUGCGCCAGGCGGAACUCAAAUGAAAAAGAAAAGUGGCUUCCAGAUAACUAGCGUUACUCCUGCUCAGAUCUCCGCUAGUAUCAGCUCUAACAACAGUAUAGCAGAGGACACUGAGAGCUAUGAUGAUCUGGAUGAAUCUCACACGGAAGAUCUCUCUUCUUCGGAGAUCCUUGAUGUGUCACUUUCCAGGGCUACUGACUUAGGGGAGCCCGAACGCAGCUCCUCAGAAGAGACCCUAAAUAACUUCCAGGAAGCUGAGACACCUGGGGCAGUCUCUCCCAACCAGCCCCACCUUCCUCAGCCUCAUUUGCCUCACCUUCCACAACAGAAUGUUGUGAUCAAUGGGAAUGCUCAUCCACACCACCUCCAUCACCACCAUCACAUUCAUCAUGGGCACCACCUCCAACAUGGGCACCACCAUCCAUCUCAUGUUGCUGUGGCCAGUGCAUCCAUUCCUGGUGGGCCACCCUCAAGCCCAGUAUCUAGAAAACUCUCUACAACUGGAAGCUCUGACAGUAUCACACCAGUUGCACCAACUUCUGCUGUAUCAUCCAGUGGUUCAUCUGCAUCUGUAAUGACUAAUAUGCGUGCUCCAAGUACUACAGGCGGAAUAGGUAUAAAUUCUGUUACUGGCACUAGUACAGUAACUAAUGUUAACAUUACUGCUGUGGGUAGUUUUAAUCCUAAUGUGACAAGCAGCAUGCUUGGUAAUGUUAAUAUAAGUACAAGCAAUAUUCCUAGUGCUGCUAGUGUGAGUGUUGGGCCUGGAGUUACCAGUGGUGUUAAUGUGAAUAUCUUGAGUGGCAUGGGAAAUGGUACUGUUUCUUCCUCCGCUGCUGUUAACAGUGUUCCUAAUGCAGCUGCAGGGAUAACUGGGGGAUCGGUUUCAAGUCAGCAGCAACAACCAACAGUUAACACUUCGAGGUUCAGAGUUGUGAAGUUAGAUUCUAGUUCUGAGCCCUUUAAAAAAGGUAGAUGGACUUGCACUGAGUUCUAUGAAAAAGAAAAUGCUGUACCUGCUACAGAAGGUGUGCUGAUAAAUAAAGUGGUGGAGACUGUAAAGCAAAAUCCGAUAGAAGUGACUUCUGAAAGGGAGAGCCCAAGUGGGAGUUCAGUGAGCAGUAGUGUCAGCACACUGAGUCACUAUACAGAGAGUGUGGGAAGUGGAGAGAUGGGAGCCCCUACUGUGGUGGUGCAGCAGCAGCAACAACAACAACAGCAGCAACAACCAGCUCUCCAAGGUGUGACCCUCCAACAGAUGGAUUUUGGUAGCACUGGUCCACAGAGUAUUCCAGCAGUUAGUAUACCACAGAGUAUUUCUCAGUCACAGAUCUCACAAGUACAAUUACAGUCUCAAGAACUGAGCUAUCAGCAAAAGCAAGGUCUUCAGCCAGUACCUCUGCAAGCCACUAUGAGUGCUGCAGCUGGUAUCCAGCCAUCGCCUGUAAAUGUGGUUGGUGUAACUUCAGCUUUAAGUCAGCAGCCUUCCAUUUCCAGUUUGGCUCAGCCGCAGCUACCAUAUUCUCAGGCGGCUCCUCCAGUGCAAACUCCCCUUCCAGGGGCACCACCACCCCAACAGUUACAGUAUGGACAACAGCAACCAAUGGUUUCUACACAGAUGGCCCCAGGCCAUGUCAAAUCAGUGACUCAAAAUCCUGCUUCAGAGUAUGUACAACAGCAGCCAAUUCUUCAAACAGCGAUGUCCUCCGGACAGCCCAGUUCUGCAGGAGUAGGAGCAGGAACAACAGUGAUUCCUGUGGCUCAGCCACAGGGUAUCCAGCUGCCAGUGCAGCCCACAGCAGUCCCAGCACAACCUGCAGGGGCAUCUGUCCAGCCUGUUGGCCAGGCUCAGGCAGCAGUGUCUGCUGUACCUACUGGCAGUCAGAUUGCAAAUAUUGGUCAGCAAGCAAACAUACCUACUGCAGUGCAGCAGCCCUCUACCCAGGUUCCACCUUCAGUUAUUCAGCAAGGUGCUCCUCCAUCUUCGCAAAUGGUUCCACCUGCUCAAACUGGGAUUAUUCAUCAGGGAGUUCAAACUAGCGCUCCAAGCCUUCCUCAACAAUUGGUUAUUGCAUCCCAAAGUUCCUUGUUAACUGUGCCUCCCCAGCCACAAGGAGUAGAACCAGUAGCUCAAGGAAUUGUUUCACAGCAGUUGCCUGCAGUUAGUCCUUUGCCCUCCGCUAGUAGUAUUUCUGUUACAAGUCAGGUUAGUUCAACUGGUCCUUCUGGAAUGCCUUCUGCCCCAACAAACUUGGUUCCACCACAAAAUAUAGCACAAACCCCUGCCACCCAAAAUGGUAAUUUGGUUCAAAGUGUUAGUCAACCUCCCUUGAUAGCAACUAAUAUAAAUUUGCCUUUGGCACAACAGAUACCACUAAGUUCUGCCCAGUUCUCUGCACAAUCAUUAGCUCAGGCAAUUGGAAGCCAAAUUGAAGAUGCCAGGCGUGCAGCGGAGCCCUCCUUAGUUGGCUUACCUCAGACUAUCAGUGGUGACAGUGGGGGAAUGUCAGCAGUUUCAGAUGGGAGUAGCAGCAGCCUAGCAGCCUCUGCUUCUCUUUUCCCGUUGAAGGUGCUACCGCUGACGACACCCCUGGUGGAUGGCGAGGAUGAGAGCUCUCUAUUUCAGUGCUUCUCUCCUACCAGAGGUGCAAGGAGUGAUCCUAGAACCACAGAUACAGCCAAGACCACGGAGAGCUUUUGACGUCAGGGGUCCACUUUCUCCACUGAACCCUUGGAGACAGAAUAUCCAGCUUCUGGAGAGAGUGGGAAAGGAUAAUAAACAAAUUUCUUUCAACUGGUAAAACAUCAUACUUCUUCAGCAAAAGGAAUUCUUCUAGCAGAGCCUUCAUGGAUGAUAUCUGUCACACAUGCCAGCACCUGCAGUUUGGAAGGCAGUGGUGAAUGGAUCCAUGCAAUAUGUCUAGAAGACACAAGGAUGAGCCAGCCACCUGAUCUUGUCAUUUAUAAACUUUUAAGAAUUACUCUGGUUUACUUUUGGUCUGAAAAUGGAAAGGCUCAAAUAAUGAAAUAAUCUUUUCAGAUUGGAAUUUUACAUGGCCAUGAAAAUAUUUCUUUCUAUUCAGAAGACUGAAAUAGAGGAAGCUUCAGAGACUCCUUUCUUUUAAAAGCAGCUCUCUGUAUCUGUUUCAUUUAAAACAUUUGUGGGAUUGAAAAUCACCUUAAUGAAGUAGGCAAACAUUUUUUUAGGUAGUAGAGGAAGUCCAAAACUUAAUGAAAUGGUUUUUUUUGUUGCCUGACACUGAAAGUAACUAGUAAAUAAAGGGUGAACUUCUUAAUUAUUCGAAAACUGCUUUUAAUAUUAGGAUAUACUCUUUUAGCUCAUCUUUGCUGGUCUUGAGCCUUAUAAUUGUCAAAUCAACAAGGUUUCUAAUAGAGAAGUAGAAAAAAUAUCUUUUGAGAUGUAAGUAGCUUGGUCUGUCUUCUAAAGUAAUACAUACCUGUUAAAGUUGAGGUAUUUUUUUCAUACUGAAGGCAUUCUAAAGUUUGAAUGGUACUGUCACAAAACAGUAGUUUACAGAGCAGAGGCACUUAGUAUUAGAAUAAGCCUAUAGGUGUGAAGGAAUAAGUGUUGCAAAAUAGUUAUUUAUCCAAGCUAUCAAUUAAUUGAUUGAAGUAGUUAUCAAAAUGUUUCUGUUUCUCUCUUUCUUUGAUAUCUAUUAACUGGUCAGUCAAAGGCUAUUAAAGAACAUUUUUAAAGUCACCUAAUGCUGCCAGUUUGUUAAAUUUGGUAUACAUUUUAAGAAUAGACAUUCUGGAGUUAUUAAUAUGGAAGCAGCUAAAAUGUUUUAGGAAAUCUCAAAAGUUUUAGAAGCCACAUUUGCAAAAGCAUAACCUGCACUUAGUCUUUCUUGGCUAUCUGUAUUUUUUUCUCAUUAAUUAUAAAUAAAUUUUUGUAAGUAUAGUACUUAAAAGUAAGUUUAAAGGUUCAAUUUGAACUGAAAUUCCCCCAGAGAGCUUUGAAUUCCCAUAAAUGAUUACAACUUUUACUCCCAACUUCUUGUUUUUAGUAAAUGUUAAUAAGACAAUUGGUUUACAAACACAUAUGAAUUAAAAAAA